UGAGUAACACGUGGGUAACCUGCCCAUCAGAAGGGGUAACACUUGGAAACAGGUGCUAAUACCGUAUAACAAUCGAAACCGCAUGGUUUUGAUUUGAAAGGCGCUUUCUUGUUGUCGCUGAUGGAUGGACCCGCGGUGCAUUAGCUAGUUGGUGAGGUAACGGCUCACCAAGGCUACGAUGCAUAGCCGACCUGAGAGGGUGAUCGGCCACAUUGGGACUGAGACACGGCCCAAACUCCUACGGGAGGCAGCAGUAGGGAAUCUUCGGCAAUGGACGAAAGUCUGACCGAGCAACGCCGCGUGAGUGAAGAAGGUUUUCGGAUCGUAAAACUCUGUUGUUAGAGAAUAACAAGGAUGAGAGUAACUGUUCAUCCCUUGACGGUAGCUAACCGGAAAGCCACGGCUAACUACGUGCCAGCAGCCGCGGUAAUACGUAGGUGGCAAGCGUUGUGGCGGAUUUAUUGGGCGUAAAGCGAGCGCAGGCGGUUUCUUAAGUCUGAUGUGAAAGCCCCCGGCUCAACCGGGGAGGGUCAUUGGAAACUGGGAGACUUGAGUGCGGAAGAGGAGAGUGGGGAUUCCAUGUGUAGCGGUGAAAUGCGUAGAUAUAUGGAGGAACACCAGUGGCGAAAGCGGCUCUCUGGUCUGUAACUGACGCUGAGGCUCG
rnacentral:rRNA from 1 species